UUCUUUAAGAUCAAUAUUCUAACUUAAAGUAAUACCUGCUCAAUGAUUAAUCUAAAUAGCCGCAGUUUAACUGUGCUAAGGUAGCAUAAUAACUUGCUUUAUAAUUAAAAGAUAGAAUGAAAGGUAAAACGAUAAAAAUCUGCAUCUUACAUACAAAAUGAACUUAAUAUUCACGUAAAAAAGCAUGAACUAAAUAAUAAGACGACAAGACCCCGCUAAACUCAUUAUUCAGUUGGGGCAACACAAUAAAAAAACUUUAUUAAAUAUUUAUACACAACCAACAACUUUAAUAAGAUAAGUUACUACAGGGAUAACAGCGCAAUAACUUUCUAGAGAUCCUAUCUAAAAAGAAGUUUACGACCUCGAUGUUGAAUUAAUUUUACUAAUAUAAGCAAAAAUAUUUAAAGUAAGUCUGUUCGACUUUUAAAAAUUU
rnacentral:rRNA from 1 species